rnacentral:rRNA from 1 species
GACGAACGCUGGCGGCGCGCCUAACACAUGCAAGUCGAACGGAGUCAAGAGGAGCUUGCUUUUCUUGACUUAGUGGCGAACGGGUGAGUAACGCGUGAGUAACCUGCCCUGGAGUGGGGGACAACAGUUGGAAACGACUGCUAAUACCGCAUAAGCCCACGGAUCUGCAUGGAUCUGCGGGAAAAGGAUUUAUUCGCUCUAGGAUGGACUCGCGUCCAAUUAGCAAGUUGGUGAGGUAACGGCCCACCAAGGCGACGAUUGGUAGCCGGACUGAGAGGUUGAACGGCCACAGUGGGACUGAGACACGGCCCAGACUCCUACGGGAGGCAGCAGUGGGGGAUAUUGCACAAUGGGGGAAACCCUGAUGCAGUGACGCCGCGUGGAGGAAGAAGGUUUUCGGAUUGUAAACUCCUGUCGUUAGGGACGAUAAUGACGGUACCUAACAAGAAAGCACCAGCUAACUACGUG